AGUGCUGAAAGCAUCUAAGCACGAAACUUGCCCCGAGAUGAGUUCUCCCUGACUCCUUGAGAGUCCUGAAGGAACGUUGAAGACGACGACGUUGAUAGGCCGGGUGUGUAAGCGCAGCGAUGCGUUGAGCUAACCGGUACUAAUGAGCCGUGAGGCUUAACCUUACAACGCCGAAGGUGUUU
rnacentral:rRNA from 1 species